CCCAACUAUCCCUAUUAAUCAUUACGUCAAUCCUAGAAACCAACAAAAUAGGAUCAAACGUCCUAUUUCAUUAUUCCAUGCUAAUAUAUUCAAGCGUUAGCCUGCUUUAAACACUCUAAUUUUUUCAAAGUAACAGUCCUGUUUCCCUGCAACACCAAGUAAAUGGCAUCACAGUUCUUCAAGAAGGAGGAAUCAGUAAGGCCAGUACAUACCAAUGGCACGACCAACCUACUGACCCCGAAAUUCAACUACGAGCUUUUUAACUGCAACAACUUUAAUAUACGCUAUUGGAGCUGGAAUUACCGCGGCUGCUGGCACCAGACUUGCCCUCCAA
rnacentral:misc_RNA from 1 species